AUUGAACGCUGGCAGCAUGCCUUACACAUGCAAGUCGAACGGUAACAGGUCUUCGGAUGCUGACGAGUGCCGAACGGGUGAGUAAUACAUCGGAACGUGCCUAGUAGUGUGGGAUAACUACUCGAAAGAGUGGCUAAUACCGCAUGAGAUCUACGGAUGAAAGCAGGGGAUCGCAAGACCUUGUGCUACUAGAGCGGCCGAUGGCAGAUUAGGUAGUUGGUGGGAUAAAAGCUUACCAAGCCGACGAUCUGUAGCUGGUCUGAGAGGACGAUCAGCCACACUGGGACUGAGACGCGGCCCAGACUCCGACGGGAGGCAGCAGUGGGGAAUUUUGGACAAUGGGCGCAAGCCUGAUCCAGCAAUGCCGCGUGCAGGAUGAAGGCCUUCGGGUUGUAAACUGCUUUUGUACGGAACGAAAAGCCCUGGGUUAAUACCCUGGGGUCAUGACGGUACCGUAAGAAUAAGCACCGGCUAACUACGUGCCAGCCGCCGCAGUAACAC
rnacentral:rRNA from 1 species